UACGUAGGGGGCAAGCGUUGUCCGGAUUUAUUGGGCGUAAAGAGCUCGUAGGUGGUUCGGUAAGUCGGAUGUGAAAUCUCCAGGCUCAACCUGGAGGGGUCAUUCGAUACUGCCGUGACUAGAAUUCGGUAGGGGAGACUGGAAUUCCUGGUGUAGCGGUGAAAUGCGCAGAUAUCAGGAGGAACACCGAUGGCGAAGGCAGGUCUCUGGGCAUUAACUGACGCUGAGGAGCGAAAGCAUGGGGAGCGAACAGG
rnacentral:rRNA from 1 species